rnacentral:rRNA from 1 species
UUAAAUUGAAGAGUUUGAUCAUGGCUCAGAUUGAACGCUGGCGGCAGGCCUAACACAUGCAAGUCGAGCGGAAACGACACUAACAAUCCUUCGGGUGCGUUAAUGGGCGUCGAGCGGCGGACGGGUGAGU